GCACUACUGAGGAGUCCCAUAAUAGGACGAAAAGGCCAUCCAGUGC
rnacentral:hammerhead_ribozyme from 1 species